UACGAAGGGGGCUAGCGUUGCUCGGAAUCACUGGGCGUGAAGCGCACGUAGGCGGAUCUUUAAGUCAGGGGUGAAAUCCCAAGGCUCAACCUUGGAACUGCCUUUGAUACUGGGGAUCUCGAGUCCGGAAGAGGUGAGUGGAACUGCGAGUGUAGAGGUGAAAUUCGUAGAUAUUCGCAAGAACACCAGUGGCGAAGGCGGCUCACUGGUCCGGUACUGACGCUGAGGUGCGAAAGCGUGGGGAGCAAACAGG
rnacentral:rRNA from 1 species